ACAGCCAUAUAGCAUUGAAACACCAGUUCCCAUAUGAUUACCAAGGUUAAGCAAUGUCAAGCCUGGUCAGUACUUAGAUGAGUGACUGCUUGGGAACACCAUGUG